rnacentral:rRNA from 1 species
CCUACGGGAGGCUGCAGUGGGGAAUAUUGGGCAAUGGGCGCAAGCCUGACCCAGCAACGCCGCGUGAAGGAAGAAGGCUUUCGGGUUGUAAACUUCUUUUCUCAGGGACGAAGCAAGUGACGGUACCUGAGGAAUAAGCAACGGCUAACUACGGGCCAGCAGCCGCGGUAAUACGUAGGGGGCAAGCGUUAUCCGGAUUGCCUGGGUGUAAAGGGCGGUUAGGCGGGCCUGCCAGUCAGAUGGAAAAACCAUGGGCUCAACCUAUGGCCUGCAUUUGCAACUGUAGUUCUUGAGUACUGGAGAGGCAGACGGAAUUCCUAGUGUAGCGGUGGAAUGCGUAGAUAUUAGGAGGAACACCAGUGGCGAAGGCGGUCUGCUGGACAGCAACUGACGCUGAGGCGCGAAAGCGUGGGGAGCAAACAGGAUUAGCUACCCCGGGUAGUC